CUUCUGCUGCUCCCCUCUGAUCUCCACAGCCUUCUGGGAAACACCUCUGCUUUCUAAUCAGGGACUGAUUUACACCAGGGACGGCAGGUGAAUGUAAUUAACCCGCUGCCAGGGUUUAACUUCACAGGGCUCAGGGUUUGGUACCAGUGAGGUUUGCUGGAGAAUGCUGAAGAUAAGCAUUUCUCUCAUUUUGACCAGACCGGAGGGACCGUGACCUGGACCCUAGUCUGAAACCAGAAGGCUCAGACUUCUGGAACUUUCUUUGGGUAUUGUGAAUCUCUUCGAUCCUCCAAACUCCUGUGAUGACUGCCUCAGUAGAGGGUUUCCAGCCCCAUUCUCUCCAGUAUCCUGGUUGUCGGGCAUCCAGACACGAGCAACAGGAGGUUCUCUGCCCGUGAAGCUGGGACCUUCAGGACCCCUCUGUUCUGGAGCAUGUGGUUUGGCAAAAGACGGAACAGGCUGAUCUGCUGCAUUCCGAACCUCCGU